AUUGAACGCUGGCGGUAGGCUUAACACAUGCAAGUCGAACGAGUGGCGGACGGGUGAGUAAUGCUUGGGAAUCUGGCUUAUGGAGGGGGAUAACUACUGGAAACUGUAGCUAAUACCGCGUACCAUCGGAUGUGCCCAAGUGGGAUUAGGUAGUUGGUGAGGUAAAGGCUCACCCAGCCGACGAUCUCUAGCUGGUCUGAGAGGAUGACCAGCCACAAUGUGACUGAGACACGGGCCAGACUCCUACGUGAGGCAGCAGUGGGGAAUAUUGCGCAAUGGGGGCAACCUGACGCAGCCAUGCCGCGUGAAUGAAGAAGGCCUUCGGGUUGUAAAGUACUUUCGGUAGCGAGGCGUUAAUUACAGAAGAAGCACCGGCUAACUCCGUGCCAGCAGCCGCGGUAAUUC
rnacentral:rRNA from 1 species